AUGCUUGUUCAAUUGAUAUCCUUACUAAUUGUUUAUUCUCUUCUCAAUGCAGGUUUGCUAAUCAUGGGCAAGUCCAGCGGUGCCAGUUUCCUCAGUAAAUUUAAAGGACUUACUCGGAGUGGACGAGCCCACAAGGUUCCCUCCCGACUACGCGAGGAUGACACCUCACAGGGAGGUGGAGGGGUCGGGGGAGGAGACCCUAGAGGAGGAGGUGGUGGGGGGAGAGCCCCUAGAGGAGGAGGAGGUGGGGGGAGAGGCAGCCGGGGCAAAAAACUCCGGGCCAUGUCCGAAAUAGGAGGGUCUUCUUCGAUGCCCUCCCAUACAGAGGCACCUUCUGAGUAUGAGGAGGAGGAGUAUGUUCCUGAUGGCGAGGAGGAGGAGGCCGAGGAGGAGGGUGAGGAGGAGGAGGCCGAGGAGGAGGGUGAGGAGGAGGAGGCCGAGGAGGAGGGUGAGGAGGAGGGCGAGGAGGGUGGAGGGGAGGUUGAUCCCGAGUUGUGGGGUGACUUGCCACCGGGUGCUCCGCAGGGGUGGCUGCGUGGUAAUGCCGGACUACCUACACCACCUUCUAUCGAGGAGCACAAGUGGCUCAUUGAAUCUGUGGGGACAGAGUAA
rnacentral:rRNA from 1 species